rnacentral:tRNA from 1 species
GAACUAUAUUUUUUGUUUUGAAAACAAAUGUUAAGAUUUUUUCUUGUAGUUU